GUUAGCAAGAAACACUCUGGUUGUUUGCUGAAACUUGUAAUGAAAGCUAUACACACAAUUUAAGGAGCAAAUGACUGGCUCAGAUGGAUGUGAUACAAACAAUUCCAUCUGUGUGGACAUGAUGAAAUGGACAUGCCCAAUCCAUGGUUAGCAGAAGGUGGCGAUGCUCAGAGCUCUGCAGCAAGUGAUUGAAUC